rnacentral:rRNA from 1 species
UACGGGGGGGGCAAGCGUUGUUCGGAAUUACUGGGCGUAAAGGGCGCGUAGGCGGCCUUCUAAGUCAGACGUGAAAUCCCUCGGCUUAACCGGGGAACUGCGUCUGAUACUGGAGGGCUUGAAUUCGGGAGAGGGAUGUGGAAUUCCAGGUGUAGCGGUGAAAUGCGUAGAUAUCUGGAGGAACACCGGUGGCGAAGGCGGCAUCCUGGACCGACAUUGACGCUGAGGAGCGAAAGCCAGGGGAGCGAACGGG